rnacentral:rRNA from 1 species
AACGAACGCUUGCGGCGCGCCUAAUACAUGCAAGUCGAACGCUGUAGCAAUACAGAGUGGCGCACGGGUGAGUAACACGUGGAUAAUCUGCCCUUCAGUGGGGAAUAACUAACCGAAAGGUUAGCUAAUACCGCAUGAGACCACGGCCUCCGAGGAAGCUGAGGCUAAAGAUUUAUCGCUGAAGGAUGAGUCUGCGAGGGAUUAGCUAGUUGGUGGGGUAACGGCCUACCAAGGCGACGAUCUCUAACAGGUCUGAGAGGAUGACCUGUCACACUGGAACUGAGACACGGUCCAGACUCCUACGGGAGGCAGCAGUAGGGAAUAUUGCGCAAUGGGCGAAAGCCUGACGCAGCGACGCCGCGUGGGGAUGACGGCCU